GCCUCGCUGGCCCCGGCCACCAGUUCCCGGUCCCGCCGCCCGCUCUUCGUCACAGAGUUUCCCGUGGGUCAGAAGCCCCCUCCCGCCUAGAUGGGGAUGGGAAAGGGAGAGGAAGAAGAGAGAGGUCGAAAGACAGUACCCCAAAGUGCCCUGCAUUUGCUCUUUGAACAAAGUUCUGUUUGUUGAUGGACUGACCGGCUCACUGACGUAAAGAUGGGGAGCAAACAGAGGGACAGAUCAAGGCCCUUCUUUGGCGCCUGGAGGAAGAGGGGCGAGUGCUCUGGACGCCAGUCACAUCCUCCCCUCCCCCUCUUACCACCUGGCAAUACUGACCUAUUCUCCAUCACUCUUUUCCAGCAGUGGGUGGCAGCCUGAGAAAAUUCUAAAGGCCAGCAUGGUCUGCAGCCUGGAGAGACACAGAGUACAGAUCAGAGGGGCAAACUCAAAUGUCUAUAGAGGCCAAGAAUAUACUGGAUGUCAAUAGAACAGACUGGGGGUAAGACAUAUGGAUCCCUCUGGAUCCUUUUUCUUUUCCCUACUUUGUAGAAC